UUCUGGCUCAGGAUGAACGCUAGCUACAGGCUUAACACAUGCAAGUCGAGGGGCAGCAUGGGAUUAGCUUGCUAAUCCUGAUGGCGACCGGCGCACGGGUGAGUAACGCGUAUCCAACCUUCCCCCUGCUCAGGGAUAGCCCGGUGAAAACCGGAUUAAGACCUGAUAGUCUCACUAGAUGGCAUCUGACGGUGAAUAAAGGUUUCGGCAAGGGAUGGGGAUGCGUCUGAUUAGCUUGUUGGCGGGGUAACGGCCCACCAAGGCGACGAUCAGUAGGGUUCUGAGAGGAAGGUCCCCCACAUUGGAACUGAGACACGGUCCAAACUCCUACGGGAGGCAGCAGUGAGGAAUAUUGGUCAAUGGGCGGAAGCCUGAACCAGCCAAGUAGCGUGCCAGGAUGACGGCCCUAUGGGUUGUAAACUGCUUUUGUGCGGGAAUAAAGUCAGGGACGCGUCCCUGUUUGCAUGUACCGCAAGAAUAAGGACCGGCUAAUUCCGUGCCAGCCGCAGC
rnacentral:rRNA from 1 species